CAGUCGUUACCGGCCGUAAAUCAACCAUUCUGGGUGCGAUUCAUGUUUGGGUGCUGAGGGAGCCCUAACCGGCCUUCUCGCUCGCGUGUUUGUGCUCGUUUGGUGUACCUAUUUGCAUGGUAAGGUUAACAUCAAAUUUCGGGUCGUCAUAAAAUGACGGGAGGAAUGUAGCUUGGAUCUCGUAUUAAAGUGUUAUAGCCUCUGGUAGAUGUGAUGAUCGGGAUUGAGGAUUGCAACGAACCCUCUGGGCCACUCGUCUGGCCUCUGGUGGUCGCUCUGGUGCCGAAAGCUUGCUUACGGUCGUCAGAGUUUGGUUGCCAAAAGGUUAGAACGGGAUGAU
rnacentral:rRNA from 1 species